GUCAGCCAGGAGAAACAGGUGUGUUAGACAGAAGCCAGUCUUUAACUGGGAAAACCAAUGCACCGGAUUUAAUAAAUUUUACAGUGUUGAUGGUACUCCAGACUACGGACAUCCUGUAUGGCGAUCUAAUAGAAGGCAGGAGAGCCGCUGGUCGCCCACUUUUACGUUAUACGGAUGUAUGCAAACGCGAUAUGAAGCUCUUCAAAAUCGACACUGGCAACUGGGAAGAGGUGGCACUGGACAGAUCCACAUGGAGAGAGAGCAUAAAAGAAGGGUCACGGAUUGCAGAUGUCAUACACAACAGAAAAAGAAAGAAGGGUGAAAAUGCAACGGCGCCUGGUGAUUAUAUAUUCCCAACCUGCGAUCGCAGCUGUGUAUCAAGGAUUGGCCUUUUUAGUCACACAAGAAGUUGCAAAGGGAAAAGAUCGUCUCUCGAGACGUAAAAUGCCACAGAUAUAACUAAAGUAUUAAACUAUUCAAAUUC